GAUGAAGAACGUAGCGAAAUGCGAUAAGUAAUGUGAAUUGCAGAAUUCUGUGAAUCAUCGAAUCUUUGAACGCACAUUGCGCCCGCCAGUAUUCUGGCGGGCAUGCCUGUCCGAGCGUCAUUUCAACCCUCGAACCCCUCCGGGGGGUCGGCGUUGGGGAUCGGCACUUACCUGCCGGCCCCGAAAUACAGUGGCGGUCUCGCCGCAGCCUCUCCUGCGCAGUAGUUUGCACACUCGCACCGGGAGCGCGGCGCGUCCACGGCCGUAAAACAACCCAAACUUCUGAAAUGUUGACCUCGGAUCAGGUAGGAAUACCCGCUGAACUUAAGCAUAUCAAUAAGCGGAGGA
rnacentral:misc_RNA from 1 species